rnacentral:rRNA from 1 species
AUGAACGCUGGCGGCGUGCCUAAUACAUGCAAGUCGAGCGAACAGACGAGGAGCUUGCUCCUCUGACGUUAGCGGCGGACGGGUGAGUAACACGUGGAUAACCUACCUAUAAGACUGGGAGAACUUCGGGAAACCGGAGCUAAUACCGGAUAAUAUAUUGAACCGCAUGGUUCAAUAGUGAAAGACGGUUUUGCUGUCACUUAUAGAUGGAUCCGCGCCGCAUUAGCUAGUUGGUAAGGUAACGGCUUACCAAGGCAACGAUUCGUAGCCGACCUGAGAGGGUGAUCGGCCACACUGGAACUGAGACACGGUCCAGACUCCUACGGGAGGCAGCAGUAGGGAAUCUUCCGCAAUGGGCGAAAGCCUGACGGAGCAACGCCGCGUGAGUGAUGAAGGUCUUCGGAUCGUAAAACUCUGUUAUUAGGGAAGAACAAAUGUGUAAGUAACUAUGCACGUCUUGACGGUACCUAAUCAGAAAGCCACGGCUAACUACGUG